rnacentral:rRNA from 1 species
UGGGGAAUUUUGGACAAUGGGCGCAAGCCUGAUCCAGCAAUGCCGCGUGCAGGAAGAAGGCCUUCGGGUUGUAAACUGCUCUUGUCAGGGAAGAAAUCUUCUGGGUUAAUACCUCGGGAGGAUGACGGUACCUGAAGAAUAAGCACCGGCUAACUACGUGCCAGCAGCCGCGGUAAUACGUAGGGUGCGAGCGUUAAUCGGAAUUACUGGGCGUAAAGCGUGCGCAGGCGGCUUUGCAAGACAGAUGUGAAAUCCCCGGGCUCAACCUGGGAACUGCAUUUGUGACUGCAAGGCUAGAGUACGGCAGAGGGGGAUGGAAUUCCGCGUGUAGCAGUGAAAUGCGUAGAUAUGCGGAGGAACACCGAUGGCGAAGGCAAUCCCCUGGGCCUGUACUGACGCUCAUGCACGAAAGCGUGGGGAGCAAACAGGAUUAGAUACCCUGGUAGUCCACGCCCUAAACGAUGUCAACUGGUUGUUGGACGGCUUGCUGUUCAGUAACGAAGCUAACGCGUGAAGUUGACCGCCUGGGGAGA